UAUUAACAACUGCUAAUUGAACACAUGACUUUUUUAACAUAUGUCCACUUCCAUCUCAAUACAGAUUAUACAAGCCCUUUGGUAGUGCAACAACUCUUAUGUGUACAGACUACAGACAAGCAUAUUUUGGAUAGGAAACAAACUCUUUUGCCAUAGGCACCUAUUUAAAAAGUUUACUGUUAGAUACAUUCACAAGGUUCAUCAUGCACCAUUCCAUAUAAAAAAGGAACACAAUAACAUGGAAAGAAAUGGUGCAAAUAAAUGAUAAUUCCUGUGACACCUCUACGCUCGUCUCCAAUAGCAGAAUGCCUGUAAGCAAGCUUCCUUUUUGUUGCCAUGAUCAUAGGGUGAACUGAAAUAGCCAACCUCAAAUCAUACAAGGUCAAGUAUCUCCAAUCAUCAUAUUCACUCAAAAGCAUUGAGAUUGGGUUUCAUCAUAGUUCCAUAUACAAAAAACAGAGACUCUGCCCAAAUGAGCAGUUGAAUGACUCAUGAAGAAUAGUGACAGAAACAAUAUAUAGUAACUACACAAACAAAGUAGAAUGAAUUAUGUAAGUACAGUCUAUUGGAAGAUUUCAUCUAUGGGGCAAAUCAUAGUAGCUUGCAAAGGGAUAAAUGCAUUGCCACACAUCUUAUCUAGAGAAGAGAAACACAAAGCAAGGAUCAAGCAUAGCUAGCAUUGGAUCAGCACCACAUGUGCCCACUGCCUCUGGUGCUUCUGUACAUAAGAAUGAGCAUUCAGUAAGAGUGCCUAAAAACGUCUCAGUACAAAACAAUGUGGUGGAAGGAUGAGAAAUAACAACAAUAGCAACUUUACUAAUACAAAGUUCCUAGAUUAAUAUAACAUUAAAAUUGCAAAGAAUAGCUCUGUAGAAAGAUGGAAGUUGUACCUCGAAGCAGCCCCUCUAGCCACAUCAUGAACUUCAGGCUUCUCAAUUGUCUUAUUUUGAAAACUCCAAAAAUGCAGGAACAAUUGAGCAUGAGUAUAGAUUAUAGAUGUGACACAUCCUGACACCUUCAACAUGAAUGUCCUAUAGUUAAAAUUAUGUGGCUGCAAUAUAGCUGCAAGCACAAUCAGAUCAGGAGCCUGUUUUAAAAUUAUGUAACUCAAUAGCUAGAGAACUAUCAGUAGAUAAACAAGGGCACAUUAACAUCAUAUAUAUUGCACUCCUAUCAAGUUUAGCGAUCAUUAUAGCUAAUUUAAUUACAGUAGAUAAACAAGAGAAGUGACCUAUAAAUUCCAACACUUGUUGCAUAGAGCUAUCUUAUGUGGAGCAACUUCAUAGAGCAAGUGCAUUCUGGAUAUCAGUCCCAAAUCAGCCUUUUUUUACUUCAGCUCUACGAUAACUACUUCAUAUAGCAAGUUCAGGGAUUGGAGAAUAAACUCACAUAUGCCAAUAAUUAAGAAAUGACGCGGGUUUAGAAUGAGGCCAAAUCCAGUGUAACAAAUCUGCUUACCAAAACCCACCAACAUUUUAUUGGCCUAGUCAGGUAGCCUACUUUGCAUGUCCUUGCCAUUAUCAUGCACUUUACCCUUUUAAUUCCACAAAGUAGCAUUGCAAGGGCUGUCCUUAAUUAUACUCCAGUUAGCAGCAGCACUCAUGAAGUCAUGAUUAGUGCCGUGCUAAGCCAAGCUGACACCAAAAAAAGUAGAGUAUAAAAAUUUAUUUCAUGUUAUAUCUAACUAUUACUAAUUUUGUGUCAAAACUCAUAAAUAUUAAUCUUUUUUCCUAUAUAAAUUUCUUCAAACUUAAAAACAAACUCAAACUUAGGACAACUGACAUAGGGAGUAGCAGGACGAUGACAUAUUUAGGCAAUUUGGAUUCACACGUUAUUAACUAAAUAAAAAAUAGGAAUAAGACAUCCUUUAAGUUUUGUGCAGAACACGGAAAGUGUGUUUCAUGCUUCAGCAUAAAUAAAAACUCCAGAAUCCAAAUUUAGUACUUUUACCAAAGGCCGGAUGGGGAGGCAGAGAGUUGUCGAGAUGAUCCAUAGACGACUCCACCCCAAAUAAAAGAAAAUUAGGUCUCAGAAUACAGAAGUUAGGUCCCAGCUAACGCAGAGGAGGUUACCACUAUAGGCAUGUUCUGCUGGAUCUUAUGGAUUUGUGUGCAGAGCAGUUAGGUCUGCUUUUAUCCAGUGAGCCGCGAUUUGGGGAAGAUGCAACAUGUUGAAGCCGCUAGUGCCAGCAUGCUCGCCUUGGAGGGUGGACGACGGAAAGGCAGAUAUGUGCCGGAUCUUCCACCUCUUCGUCAGUUCGUCCACCAUGACCGGAUUUGCUCGAUGUCAGAUCUCGCACGCCGCCGGAUCCCGCACGGCUCGACAUACUCCCUCGCACUUAGAGCAUCCCCAACCGUUUUGCAAAUAAGCUUUGCAUUCAUGUAUUUGCAAAAAAAUCUUAAAAACACUUAUGUAACGGUUUGGAAUUUAGACUUUGCAAUUUUGUUAACUUGGCAAAAAGAGAGGAAGGAUUGGCAUAUAUGUCAAACCUGUUCACACUUGGCAUUGGGAAAUUGGCGCGAAGUGAUUAAUGCCAAACCAUU
rnacentral:lncRNA from 1 species